GCAAUCAAGAUAUCCUUAACAAUAACAUGUACUAAAUCUCCAAAGUAUUUUUGUUUUUCUUUUGAAAACAUUUCUUCCAAACAAUUAACAGAUUACAGAAGUAUUGUGGCUUUUGCAAUUGUCAGUCUAGUUUAAAAAAAACAGUCAUUAUUUAUAAGAAUGUCUGCACGAAUGAUGAAUUAUUCAUAGUAAAGGUAAAUAGCGGUAUUGAGAUUAGCACUGUUCGUUAUCAAAUUUCGUCGUGGAUGCACUAACCGAUUGAAAAUGGCAGCUCGUGCUUUAAAGUGCAAAUUCAUUGACCAUUAACAAUGGUACACACGGUUAGACACUACAGUAAACCCCAGAGACAGACAUGUUAAGGAGAUAAGCAAGGGUCAACCAUGAUCAUUCAAAUGACGUCUGACUGAGAACAUUCUGAGUGUGGGAUUUCGGCAUGAAUCCGCAAAAUUUCACCUUGCUGAGUAAUUAACAGAUGGCUGUUAUAAUAGAAUCCGGAUAGAAAUGGAAUCGAUGGCGACUCCGCGUUGAUCUUUUUAUCAAAAGACAUUUUUUUAAUCAACCGUCAGUUGACUAGACCCAUUAUGUUCCUGCAUUCUUUAUCAUGAUUCAGGACUGAAAAGUUAAUGAUCGGUAUUGAUAUAUCGAUAUACAAGUGUAUAAAGAUUAACGACACGUGGGCAGAUAUUUUAAGGGAAGAAAAAUAUCGUACGUAUCCACUGUGAUAUCAUGGCUAAAGAUGAACAACAUUCGUUAUUUGCAUGCCCUGUUUAUACAGGGGCGGAUCCAGCACUGUGAUAUCAUGGCUAAAGAUGAACAAAACUCGUUAUUUGUAUAUCCUGUUUAUAACCAACUUCUAUGUGAAUAUUUUUGCAAAUUUGGAUAAUGCAUGCAUGUCUGACAACGUUCUUAACCCAGCAGAUGAAAAAUCAACCAGAGCUAUUUGUUACUAUACACGAGAUGCAAUUAUUGUCAGACAAUUGGUUUAACAACACUGAACAAAUAUUUACCCCCGUUUUAUUUUUGCCCCUUUCACCCUCGUUAAUGGGCGAAUUUGAGGUUAAGGAUUCUGUGUCUGGGCGAAUUCAAAAUAGGACGAAAUCGUUGCAAAUGUAGAAGGGCGGGAAAAAAAAGAAGAAGAAAAAACUCAGGGUGACAAUAACGCUUUACACAAUGUUUGUCCACGUAUAUAACCUGAGCUACAUACGGUUUCUAUCAAAGAAAUAUGAAUUGGUGAUUAAAUCCAACAACCCUAGCUUCACCAUGAUCACCCUAAAUUUACUUUGUGAUUGUUGUACUUUGUGAUGGUUUUAUUUUGUGAUUGUUGUACUUUCUGUUGGUUUUAUUUUGAGAUUAUUGUACUUUGUGAUUGUUGUACUUUCUGUUGGUUGUACUUUGUGAUUGUUGUACUUUGUGAUUGUUGUACUUUGUGAUUGUUGUACUUUCUGUUGGUUUUACUUUGUGAUUGUUGUACUUUCUGUUGGUUUUAUUUUGUGAUUGUUGUACUUUGUGAUUGUUGUACUUUCUGUUGGUUGUACUUUGUAAUUGUUGUACUUUGUGAUUGUUGUACUUUCUGUUGGUUUUACUUUGCGAUUGUUGUACUUUCUGUUGGUUUUAUUUUGUGAUUGUUGUACUUUGUGAUUGUUGUACUUUCUGUUAGUUUUACUUUGUGAUUGUUGUACUUUGUGAUUGUUGUACUUUCUGUUGGUUGUACUUUGUGAUUGUUGUACUUUGUGAUUGUUGUAAUUUCUGUUGGUUUUACUUUGCGAUUGUUGUAGUUUGUGCGAUUUUUUUUUUACUUUUUGAUUAUUUGUUUUUAUUCUAGGUUGGUUGUACUUUGUGAUUGUUGUACUUUGUGAUUGUUGUACUUUCUGUUGGUUUUACUUUGUGAUUUUUUUUACUUUGUGAUUUUUUUUACUUUGUGAUUAUUUGGUUUAUUCUAGGUUGGUUGUACUUUGUGAUUGUUGUACUUUGUGAUUUUUGUACUUUCUGUUGGUUUUACUUUGUGAUUUUUUUUACUUUGUGAUUUUUUUUACUUUGUGAUUAUUUGGUUUAUUCUAGGUUGGUUGUACUUUGUGGUUGUUUUAUUUUGUGAUGGUUUAACUUUGUGUUUAUUUUACUCCCACAAGCAUUAAAAAUCAAGAGUUGGGCAAACACGGGCCCCUGGAUAUACCAGAGGUGGGACCAGGUGUCUAGGAGGAGUAAAAAUCCCCUUUUGAUCGGUCAUCCUCGCCAUGAGCCCUAUACCUAGAUGAAGGUAAACGGAGUAAUCCGUAGUCGGGAUCAGUGUAUAAAGAACGGUCUAACAAUCGGCACGAAACACGUCAGACAGCAUUUGAUCCAAUGAUAGGUUGUAUUGGUAAUCUAGAUCGUUAUAACGACCAUAGAAUUUGCGAAAUGCUUACUUUAAACGAGACUGUUGAAACCCCUGUAACAUUAACUUCUUUGUCAAUUACCAGCCUUAAUAUGAUAACUAAUCAUUCGCAGAACAAGCUCUUGUGUAUCGAAUCAGUUGAGAAACAUAAACACCAUAUGCAGGUGAAAAUGGAAUAUUGCUACAUAAGUAUGGGAAGUUGACGAAGAAGCUGAAAUCAUCUCUUUGUCAUAAAGUUGAGUUGUUAAGUGUGCCGUUACCAUCUAUGUUCAAUAAACUAUCUAAUGUUCUA